GACGAACGCUGGCGGCGUGCUUAACACAUGCAAGUCGAACGGAGGAUUUAUUUCGGUAAAUCCUUAGUGGCGAACGGGUGAGUAACGCGUGGGCAAUCUGCCCUUCAGAUGGGGACAACAUCCCGAAAGGGGUGCUAAUACCGAAUACGAUCACGCUGCCGCAUGGCGGUGUGAUGAAAGAUGGCCUCUAUUUAUAAGCUAUCGCUGAAGGAUGAGCCUGCGUCUGAUUAGCUAGUUGGUGGGGUAACGGCCUACCAAGGCGAUGAUCAGUGGCCGGUCUGAGAGGAUGAACGGCCAGAUUGGGACUAGAACACGGCCCAAAUGCCUACGGGAGGCAGCAGUGGGGAAUAUUCCGCCAUGGACGAAAGUCUGACGGAGCAACGCCGCGUGAGUGAUGAAGGUUUUCGGACUGUAAAGCUCUGUUGUUUAGGACGAAAGUGCCUGUUGCGAACAGUUACAGGUAUUGACGGUACUGAACGUGGAAGCCACGGCUAACUACGUGCCAGCCGCCGCGGUAA
rnacentral:rRNA from 1 species